rnacentral:rRNA from 1 species
UACAGAGGUCCCAAGCGUUGUUCGGAUUCACUGGGCGUAAAGGGUGCGUAGGUGGCCAGGUAAGUUCGGUGUGGAAAGCUCGGAGCUUAACUCCGAAAUGGCAUUGAAUACUAUCUGGCUAGAGGGUCGGAGGGAGACGUGGAAUUCGUCGGUGUAGCAGUGAAAUGCGUAGAUAUCGAGAGGAACACCAGUGGCGAAGGCGAGUCUCUGGACGACUCCUGACACUGAGGCACGAAAGCCAGGGAGCAAACAGG